rnacentral:lncRNA from 1 species
UGCGGUUUUUCAGACUUGACUUUUGAAUAUUUUCUCCUCUCCCUCUCUUCGUUUUUGGGAGAAAAUUUUCUCCCUUUCUUCUUGGCCCGUAGAAAUUUGAGAUUAUUAUUCUCUUGAUAGAUUCUUGUGAAUCUUAUGUGCUACAGUAACUUGGAUGCCGUUUGUGUGAGUAAUCUGUCGUAUGUGUAGCUGUGGCCGAUUUUGUGAGGAAGAAGUGUAGUUUCCAGAUUUGAGAUCCAUUUUUGGAUCGAUGAUUGAUCUGGUUAUUCUAUUUGGUUCUAUGUAUUGUACUCUCUCUGAGAGGUAGAAUUGUACUAGUGGAUUGGGCUGACUCUGAGCCCCCCAGAUUAAGCCAUUCAGGCCGAACUGGGUGAAUAUUUUUGCGUGUUCUUUUAUUUUUCUUACACUUUACGUUUGUGUUGUUAAUGUUGCUAUCGGUUUAAGGCAUAAAUUCCCUAAAAAUCUGGUAUCAGAGCCAUUAAAGCGGUGAGGUAAGGCAUAUUUAAAUACAGUUUGAUUUCUUGUCGUAUUAAUGCAUUUUCUUCACUUGUGCAGUAACAAGAAAGUGAAAUAAAUCGAUCAUUGAAAGCUAGGUCUUCGGUUUCGCAACUACAGAAAGCGGUACCGAUUUUUGUAAAAUACUAUAACACAGUAUUUGGUGAGAUCUUAUACAAUUAAACAAUAGUAGUUGUUUGCAUGAUAUAAAUGAUAUAUCUGAUCUUGAAGAUUGAUUGGUACCAACUGUUUUGGAAAUUUGAAAUUGGUCCUAUCAUGCUAUUGUGUUUCAGUCAGUGCAUGUUAGAUAACUGUCUGUUUGCCAUUUCGGGUCUACUUACUUGUCAAUUAUCUGCAUAAAUUUUUUAAAAAAACUUUUUCUGUAACUUAAGUGAUUUCUUGAAUUGAAUCACUUAUGUCCUCGAGUAAUAACCCUUUUACAGAACCCGCAAUGGGUUCGAAGGUUGAAUUGAGUCAAUUCGAUGGAAAGGGUGACUACUCUAUAUGGAAACAGAAAAUGAGGGUCAUUCUGGUCCAGCAGAGGGUUGCAAAAGCCCUUGACGAUCCUGACAAAUUUUCUGAUGAAUUGAAAGCUAAGUCUGCUGAAAUUGAAGAUAUGAAUGAAAUAGCAUAUAGUUCAAUCAUACUGCAUCUGUCUGAUAAUAUAGUGAGACAAGUUGAAGAACAUAAAACUGCUCGAGCCCUGUGGGAAGCACUAGAUGCUUUGUUCUUAACUAAAACACUACCUAAUAAGAUCUACCUAUUGGAGAAAUUGUUUAGCUUCAAAAUGGAUCCUGGAAAAGACUUAGAAUCUAAUCUUAGUGAUUUUAGCAUUCUGGUUAAGAGUCUUUCACAUAAUGAUAAUAAAUUCAAGGAUGAAGAUCUGGCUGUGAUUCUUUUAAAUUCACUACUUGAAUCUUAUAAAGAAAUCCGAAAUGCUAUAAAAUAUUCGAGAGAUGCCUUAACACAAACGAUUGUGACAAAUGCCCUAAGAUCUAGGGAAUUGGAUUUUAAGAAGGAAUCAAGAACUAAUCCCAGAGAGGAGAACCUGUUUGUGAGAGGGAAAACUGAAAAAAGGGAAAUCUAUUCAUCGAAUAAGAGGUUCAAAUCUAAAUCUAGAGGUAGGUCCAAGUCAACAGACAAAAGUAACAAAAAAUGUUAUCAUUGUGGAAAACUUGGACACUUCAAAAGGGACUGUUUUGAAUUAAAAAAGAAGUUAAAGGAACCUAAUAACAGUGAGUUAAAUAAUGCUGCUGUAAGUUCAGAACUUGACAGCCUUCUUGUUAUGAUUGUGUCUAAUGAUGGAAUAGAGACUGACUGGAUACUUGACUCUGGAUGUACUUAUUAUAUGUGACCCAAAUAAAACUUGGUUUUAUAACUACAAGGAGAUAGAACCCAGGAAAGUGUAUAUGGGUGAUAAUAAUUCACAAAAUGUUCUUGGAAUCAGUGAUAUUACAAUCAAAAUGUAUGAUGGUAGUGUCAGGCAGAUUAAAAAUGUAAGGCAUGUCCCAAAUCUAAAAAGAAAUCUCAUUUCACUAGGAAUUCACGAAGAUGAAGGACAUACAUUUAAAUCUGAAAAUAAUUCCUUGAAAAUUCUCAAAGGAUCUCUUGUAGUUAUGAAGGGACCAAAAAUAAAUGGUUUGUAUUACUUGAUGGGAGAGACUGUCAAUUCCCAGGAUUCGAAAUCCUUAACCAUCACUGAAAGUAAAUCUGAAUUGUGGCAUUGUAAGAUGGGACAUAUUGGUAAUAAGGGCUUAAAAUAUCUAAAUGAUCAAAAAUUGUUUGGAAAAGAUAAGAUAGAGCCACUUAACUUCUGUGAGACGUGUGUACUUGGAAAGUCUCAUAGAGUUAGCUUUGAGACGGGAUCACACACUACAAAUAGAACAUUAGAUUAUGUCCACUCAGAUUUGUGGGGUCCAGAAAGCCGCCCAACCUUUGGUGGGAACAAAUAUUUUCUUUCUAUAAUUAAUGACUAUUCUAGAAAAGUUCAUACCCUUUAAAAGCGAAAUCUAAGACAUUUCAAAAAUUUAGAAUGUGGUUAACGAUGGUUGAAAAUCAAUUGGGUAGAAAAUUGAAAACCUUAAGGAUAGAUAAUGGGUUGGAAUUCUGUAAUGCAGAAUUUGAUAACCUUUGCAAACAAAAAGGGAAUAAUUAGACAUAGAACUGUUAAGCAUCCACCCCAACAGAAUGGGGUAGCUGAAAGAAUGAACAGAACCCUUAUGAAUAAGGUUAAAUGUAUGCUGAUAAGUUCUGGUUUAGCAAAAGGUUUUUGGGCAGAAGCUUUAUGCACUGCAGUCUAUCUAAUUAAUAGAUCAUCCUGCAGUUUAGUAAAGUUCAAAACCCCUCAGGAAGUGUGGACUAGAAAGCCACCUAAUCUGUCUAAUAUCAGGGUCUUCAGAUGUUCUGCAUAUGCACAUCAAGUUGAAGGGAAAUUAGACCCUAGAGCCACUAAAUGUGUCAUGUUGGGAUACCCUAAAGGAGUUAAAGGGUACAGGUUAUGGGUACUAGGUGAGAAAGGCAUUAAGAUCAUUAACAGUAGAAAUGUAGUGUUUAAUGAAUCUGAAAUGUCAUGCUUGAAGAAUAAAAGGGAUAAACAGGAAGCAAUUGAAAAUAGUACUUCACAGAAUGAGGUGAAGUUGGCAAGAAUGGGUCACAAUCCUACAGAUAUAACUGAACCUGAAUAUGUAUAGCCAAAUGAAGGGACAGAUAACAUAGAUGAAGGUGAAGCUACUACCUCCCAAACUGAAACUGAAAUUGUGACACAAGAUAAUCCUGUAAGUGAAACUAGUACCCAAGAUUACCAAUUAGUGAGAGAUAGGGAAACGAGACAAAUUAAGCCUAAUCCCAGAUAUGAAGCUAACAAUCUGACUGAUUUUGCCCUAAUCACAGGUGAAAACUUAGAACAUGCUGAACCCUUAUCUUAUGAAGAAGCUAUAGCUAGUCCUAAGUCUCAGAAUUGGAGAGAGGCCAUGAGAGAAGAAAUGAAAUCUCUGAUUGACAAUAAAACAUGGAAACUUGUUAAGAAACCAAAAAAUCAGAGAGUGGUUCAAUGCAAGUGGAUUUAUAAACUCAAAGAAGGCAUUUCCCAACUGACCCUUUGAGGUAUAAGGCAAGGUUAGUGGCCAAGGGGUUCAUCCAAAGGGAGGGAAUUGAUUACAAUGAAAUUUUUUCACCUGUGAUCAAAUAUAAAACUAUAAGGCUAAUGCUUUCUCUAGUUGUUCAGUUUAAUUGGGAACUUGAACAAUUAGAUGUCAAAACAGCCUUUUUGCAUGGGGAAUUGGAUGAGGACAUCUAUAUGUGUCAACCUCAAGGUUUUGAGGAAAAAGGGAAAUCUGACUAUGUUUGUAAAUUAGAGAAAUCCCUGUAUGGACUAAAACAAAGUCAAAGACAGUGGUACGUCCGAUUUGACACAUAUGUUGUGAAAAUUGGUUUUAGAAGGAGUAUGAUCAUUGCUUGUAUUAUUACACCUCUAAACCUGCCAGCAAGAUAUAUCUAUUCUUGUAUGUAGAUGAUAUGCUGCUGGCCAGUGCAAGUAAGGCUGAAAUAACAAGAAUGAAGAAUCUCCUAAAAUCAGAAUUUGAAAUGAAAGAUUUAGGGAAUGCCAAGAAAAUACUAGGAAUGGUCAUAACUAGAGAUAGACAUCAAGACAGGUUAACAAUAACUCAAGAAUCUUACCUGCAUAAAUUCAUAUCAAAAUUUGGCAUGAAAGAGGCAAAGUCUGUUAAUGUUCCACUUGCUGCUCACAUGAAUCUCUCUUCAGCCCAAUGUCCUAAAAAUGAAUCCGAAGUUAAGGACAUGAAAAAUAUUCCUUACUCUAAUGCAAUAGGAUCAGUAAUGUUUUCUAUGAUCACAACUAGACCUGACCUAGCAUAUUCAAUCAGUUUUUUAAGCAGGUUUAUGGCUAACCCUGGGAAACCACAUUGGGCUGGUUUAAAAUGGCUAUUAUGGUAUAUAGCUGGGACACUAAAGGUAGGUUUAGUGUACAAAAAGGAAUCAGAACCAUUAACCCUUAAGGGGUACAUGGAUUCUGAUUUUGCAGGAGAUAAAGAUAAAAAAAAUCUACCACUGCUUAUUUCUUUUCACUUGGUGGUAAUUAUAUCACAUGGAAGUCUCAACUUCAGCCUAUCGUCACUUUAUCCAGUGCUGAAGCUGAAUAUGUGGCUAUUACUGUAUGUGUUAAAGAAUGUAUAUAGCUAAAAUGAAUUUUAAGUGAACUGAAUUUUUUGUUAACUUCACCAGUUAUACUUAUUGAUAGUCAAAGUGCCUUAUUAUUAAGCAAGAAUCCUGUCUACCAUGAAAGGUCCAAACACAUUGAGGUGAAGUAUCAUUUUAUAAGAGAAAAACUCUCUUCAGGUGAAAUGGUUAUUGAAAAAAUUCAUAUUGACAUUAAUCCAUCUGAUAUGGGCACUAAAAUUCUGCCUGUAAGUAAAUUCAGAAUUUGUCUGUCACUUUUUAAUAUUGAUACUGGGUAAUUUUCUUUGCAGGUACCUUGGGCAAUGAUGUUGUUCAGCUUUCCACAAAUGUGCAAUUCAGCAACUGAGAGAGUGAGUGCAAUUUUUGAGAGCCAAGGUGAAGAUUGAAGGAGAAGACAUGUUUCUCCAAAAUUGCUACUUAAGGGAGGGUAAUAUGGACAUUUACUGCACCUUAAGUUGGUGACGUUACGUGGCAGCUCCUGAUUCGCUCAUACCAUAUAACUUGGAUCUGUGUUUCUUUUGGCCAUGUGUGGACCGUUCGAUUGAAUAAACGGUGGAGAUGAAAAAUAGCUGGCCCUUAGUCUUCUGAAGGAUACGGCUGGGGUGUGGUUUUUCAGACUUGACUUUUGAAUAUUUUCUCCUCUCCCUCUAUUUGUUUUUGGGAGAAAAUUUUCUCCCUUUCUUCUUGGCCCGUAGAAACUAGAGAUUAUUAUUCUCUUGAUAGAUUCUUGUGAAUCUUCUGUGCUACAGUAACUUGGAUGUCGUUUGUGUGAGUAAUCUGUCGUAUGUGUAGCUGUGGCCGGUUUUGUGAGAAAGAAGUGUAGUGUCCAGAUUUGAGAUCAAUUUUUGAAUCGAUGAUUGAUCUGGUUAUUCUAUUUGGUUCUAUGUACUGUACUCUCUCUGGGAGGUAGAAUUGUACUGGUGG